rnacentral:rRNA from 1 species
UACCAGCACCCCGAGUGGUCGGGACGAUUAUUGGGCCUAAAGCAUCCGUAGCCGGUCCUACAAGUCUUCCGUUAAAUCCACCUGCUUAACAGAUGGGCUGCGGAAGAUACUAUAGGGCUAGGAGGCGGGAGAGGCAAGCGGUACUCAGUGGGUAGGGGUAAAAUCCUCUGAUCCAUUGAAGACCACCAGUGGCGAAGGCGACUUUCUGGCCUGUUCUUGACGCUGAGGCGCGAAAGCUAGGGGAGCAAACGGG